GAUGAAGAACGCAGCGAAAUGCGAUAAGUAAUGUGAAUUGCAGAAUUCAGUGAAUCAUCGAAUCUUUGAACGCACAUUGCGCCCGCCAGUAUUCUGGCGGGCAUGCCUGUUCGAGCGUCAUUACAACCCUCAGGCCCCCGGGCCUGGCGUUGGGGAUCGGCGGAGCCCCCCGUGGGCACACGCCGUCCCUCAAAUACAGUGGCGGUCCCGCCGCAGCUUCCAUCGCGUAGUAGCUAACACCUCGCGACUGGAGAGCGGCGCGGCCACGCCGUAAAACACCCAACUCUUCUGAAGUUGACCUCGAAUCAGGUAGGAAUACCCGCUGAACUUAAGCAUAUCAAUAAGCGGAGGA
rnacentral:misc_RNA from 1 species